AUGUUUAGGAAAAUGUACCAAGGUGGCCCUUCAAGGAAGCAAGGACCCAGGCUCGCAAUGCGCGAUGCCGACGAUGAACCACCAAGGGAAGCUCAAGUGCGGGCUUGUGAAUGGCCUUCAGAGGACUUCAUGGAUCGAGCAGGAAUCAAGGAAGAAUUUAACGCAUAUGUGCGUAACGCUGAUCUUGUGAGCUUCGAGGCAGAUAAGUGCCGUCAGUACUACUAUCUCACUGAUUCCUUUGUGAGGAGGUUUGAAUUUUCAUCAUCACGCAAUUCUCAAACUGUCCUGUUUGAUCUUUAUGAAAAUUCUUAUACUAUGGACUUAAAGGAUUUUAAUACUGCUUGCAAGCUUCCACAAUGGGGUAGUCCUAGUGAACCUCGCAAAUCUGAAUUUAGAGAUUUUCUUGCUAGUAUAACUGUGGGGGAGUCUAGAGAUAUAACACAAGCUACCAUAGGGAGCAUUCAUUUCCCUGCUAUACAUUAUUUUGCUCUCUUCAUAGGUAGGUGCAUAAAUAGUAAGGAUGAAGCAUGCCGCAUGUGUGUCCCUGACCUUAGUGUUCUCAGGAGUGCUGUAUUAGGAGAUAAACAUUAUAAUUUGGGAGCCAUUGUUGCACGUAGGUUGCAUAAUAAUAGAAUUAAUGGAGAUUUCUUCGGCGGAAUUUAUGCAACCCGUCUAGCUAAUUUUCUUGGAAUACCCAUACGUGAGUAUGAUGUUGAGUUGCCUCCUGUUUAUUUAGAUUAUGAGGCUAUGGUUCGUCAUCAAUUUGUUGAGAGGAAAGAUCAGUUCCUCUAG
rnacentral:rRNA from 1 species